rnacentral:rRNA from 1 species
AGAGUUGAUCCUGGCUUAGGAUGAACGCUAGCGACAGGCUUAACACAUGCAAGUCGAGGGGCAGCACGGGAGUAGCAAUACAACUGGUGGCGACCGGCGCACGGGUGAGUAACGCGUAUGCAACCUACCUAUCAGAGGGGAAUAACCCGGCGAAAGUCGGACUAAUACCGCAUAAAACAGGGGCACCGCAUGGUGAUAUUUGUUAAAGAGAUUCGCUGAUAGAUGGGCAUGCGUUCCAUUAGGUAGUUGGUGAGGUAACGGCUCACCAAGCCGACGAUGGAUAGGGGAACUGAGAGGUUGGUCCCCCACACUGGUACUGAGACACGGACCAGACUCCUACGGGAGGCAGCAGUGAGGAAUAUUGGUCAAUGGGCGGGAGCCUGAACCAGCCAAGUCGCGUGAAAGGAAGAAGGAUCUAUGGUUCGUAAACUUCUUUUGCAGGGGAAUAAAGUGCAGGACGUGUCCUGUUUUGUAUGUACCCUGAGAAUAAGGAUCGGCUAACUCCGUGCCAGCAGCCGC